GAAAAGUUAAAAACUAGCUUUUAAGUUUGGUUUAUAAUAAAAUUAUAUGAAAAUUUUUUAUUAAUUAUUGUUUUCAAUAAUGAGUUUUAAAUAUUAAGAAAACUUAGAUUUAGUUAUUUAUUUAAGGGUUGGCUAAUUAAGUGCCAGCAGCCUCGGUUAUACUUAGCACUCAACUUAAUUUUUAUUAGUUCUGAUUAGUAUAAAUAUUAUUUUUAAUUUAAAAAUUUAAGGUGAAAUUUUAUUUUUAUUUCAAUUUUUUAUUUAUGAUUUUCAAUAAAUUAAUUAGAAAACUAGAAUUAGAUACUCUAUUAUUAUAAUGUAAUAUUAAAACUUUAUUAUUAUUAGUUAAGUUCUUUUAAAGUAAAUGUUUAUGGCGGUAUUUUAUUCCACUCAGAGGAACCUGUUCUGUAAUUGAUAAUCCACGAUUAAAUUUACUUAAUUUUUGUUUAAAUAUCGUUGUUAAAUUUAUUAGUGGUUUUUAUAAUUUAGUUUUUUUUAUUAAAAGUUAAUUCAGAUCAAGAUAUAACUAUAAUUAAGUAGAAAUGGGUUACUAUAUAAUAAAUGAUUCAAUUUUUUAAAUUUUGAGGAUUAAGGAUUUGAAAGUAAAUUUUAUUAUUUUAUACUGUUGAUUUAGGCUCUAAAAUAUGUACAUAUCGCCCGUCGCUUUCAUUUAAGGUGAAAUAAGUCGUAACAAAGUAGAUUUACCGGAAGGUGAAUCUGGUCAAAU
rnacentral:ncRNA from 1 species